rnacentral:tRNA from 8 species
GCUUUCGUAGCUCAGUUGGAUUAGAGUGUCUCCCUCCGAAGGAGAAGGUCACGCGUUCGAGUCGCGUCGAGAGCA